ensembl:lncRNA
AGGCAAGGAAAGGCCACAUUUGCGAUGAGAAAACACGUGAUUUUUGCUUAAAUGCGGUAUUUGCAAAGAGAAAACGCGUGAUUGUCGAAUACAUGGGGGAUUUGCAAAUAGAAAAAGCGUGAUUUUGGGUUAAAUGGGGGAUUUGCGAAGAGAAAACGCGUGAUUUUCAGGUUAAAUGGCUGAUUCUCGAAGAGAAAACACGUGAUUUUCGCUUAAGUGGGGAUUUACAAGGAGAAAACGCGUGAUUUUUGCUUAAAUGUGGGAUAUCUGAAGAGAAAACACGUGGUUUUCGGGUUAAAUCGGGGACUCUCGAAGAGAAAACACGUGAUUUUCGGGGUAAAUGGGGGAUUUGCGAAGAGAAAACGCGUGAUUUUCGGGUUAAAUGGGGGAUUUGCAAAGAGAAAACGCGUGAUUUUCGCAUACAUGGGGGAUUUGCAAGUAGAAAAAGCGUGAUUUUUGGGUUAAAUGGGGUAUUUGCAAAGAGAAAACGCGUGAUUUUCGCAUACAUGGGGGAUUUGCAAAUAGAAAAAGCGUGAUUUUUGGGUUAAAUGGGGGAUUUGCGAAGAGAAAAUGCGUGAUUUUCGCAUACUUGGGGGAUUUGCAAAGAGAAAACGCGUGAUUUUCAGGUUAAAUGGCUGAUUCUCGAAGAGAAAACGCAUGAUUUUGGCGUUAAAUGGGGGAUUUGCAAAGACAAAACGCGUGAUUUUCGCUUAAAUGGGGGAUUUGCGAAGAGAAAACGCGUGAUUUUCGGGUUAAAUGGGGGAUUCUCGAUGAGAAGACGCGUGAUUUUUGGUUAAAUGGGGGAUUUGUGAAGAGAAAACGCGUGAUUUUCGGGUUAAAUGGGGGAUUCUCGAAGAGAAAACGCGUGAUUUUCGCUUAAAUGGGGGAUUUGCGAAGAGAAAACGCGUGAUUUUCGCUUAAAUGGGGGAUUCUUGAAGAGAAAACGCGUGAUUUUCGGGUUAAAUGGGGGAUUCUCGAAGAGAAAACGCGUGAUUUUCGGGUUAAAUGGGGGAUUUGCGAAGAGAAAACACGUGAUUUUCGGGUUAAAUGGGGGAUUCUCGAAGAGAAAACGCAUGAUUUUCUGGUUAAAUGGGGGAUUUUGGAAGAGCAAAUGUGUGAGUUUUGGUUAAAUGGGGGGUUUUCCAGAGAAAAUGCAUGACUUUCUGUUCAAUGGAGGAUUUUUGUGGUGAAAAUGCGUGGUGUUCAGGUUAAAGCAGGGAUUUUCGAUGAGAAAAUACAUGAUUUGGGGGUUGAAUGUGUUUGUUUGUUUGUUUGUUUUAAGAGAAACUUGUGAUUUUUGAUGAAUUAUGUAUUUUUGAAGUGAAAAUGCGUGGUUUUCAGGUUAGAUCAGGGAUUCUUGAAGAGAAAAUGCAUCAUUGUCGGGUUACAUGGGGGAUUUCCAAGAGAAAUCGCCUUUUUUUUUUUUUUUUUUUCUGGUUAAAUGGGGGAUUUUUGAAGAGAAAAUGAGUGAUUUUCAGGUUACAUGGGAGAUUUUUUGAAGAGAAAAUGCGUGAUUUGCAGAUUAAAUGGGGGAUUGUUGAAGGGAAA